AAAUAUGAUACCACCAGGUCGGAGGAGAUAACACUUCAAAAUAUCCUAAAUAUAGAGUAGUCAGACGAAAACAUUUCCCCUAAUAGAAUAAAAACCGGCCCUCUUCAGUAUUACAAUGUUGCACUGUUUAACCUAAAAAAAAGUCAAAGCAAAUACAUUGUCUUCUUCCCUUACAGAAAAAUGAGAAAAAUCAAACUGCACAAAUACUUCCUUGAGUCAAAAUUUACAACGCUCAAAAUAAUAAAAUCAAAAUGAAGAAAACAAGAUGAUCUUCAAACUAUGCCAUAUGCUGGUGCUCGUUUAAUAACUUUUGAAUCAUCGCCUCUCCCCUGGUAAUAUUCAUUGCUCCCCCCUUAAUGUGUAUAUAUGAUACACCGGAGCAAUUGAAGGGUUGUUUUAGUGUAUAAUUACGUUUUGCCUAUUGUCCUGAACCUUCAUGAAAUAUUA
rnacentral:lncRNA from 1 species